GAUGAACGCUGGCGGCGUGCCUAAUACAUGCAAGUCGAGCGAACAGACGAGGAGCUUGCUCCUCUGACGUUAGCGGCGGACGGGUGAGUAACACGUGGAUAACCUACCUAUAAGACUGGGAUAACUUCGGGAAACCGGAGCUAAUACCGGAUAAUAUAUUGAACCGCAUGGUUCAAUAGUGAAAGACGGUUUUGCUGUCACUUAUAGAUGGAUCCGCGCCGCAUUAGCUAGUUGGUAAGGUAACGGCUUACCAAGGCAACGAUGCGUAGCCGACCUGAGAGGGUGAUCGGCCACACGGGACCUGAGACACGGUCCAGCCUCCUCCGGGAGGCAGCAGUAGGGAAUCUUCCGCAAUGGGCGAAAGCCUGACGGAGCAACGCCGCGUGAGUGAUGAAGGUCUUCGGAUCGUAAAACUCUGUUAUUAGGGAAGAACAAAUGUGUAAGUAACUAUGCACGUCUUGACGGUACCUAAUCAGAAAGCCACGGCUAACUACGUG
rnacentral:rRNA from 1 species